CGGUUAAGUUAGAAAGGGCGCACGGUGGAUGCCUUGGCACUAGGAGCCGAUGAAGGACGGGACGAACACCGAUAUGCUUCGGGGAGCUGUAAGCAAGCUUUGAUCCGGAGAUUUCCGAAUGGGGAAACCCACCACUCGUAAUGGAGUGGUAUCCAUAUCUGAAUACAUAGGAUAUGAGAAGGCAGACCCGGGGAACUGAAACAUCUAAGUACCCGGAGGAAGAGAAAGCAAAUGCGAUUCCCUGAGUAGCGGCGAGCGAAACGGGACCAGCCCAAACCAAGAGGCUUGCCUCUUGGGGUUGUAGGACACUCUGUACGGAGUUACAAAGGAACGAGGUAGAUGAAGAGGUCUGGAAAGGCCCGCCAUAGGAGGUAACAGCCCUGUAGUCAAAACUUCGUUCUCUCCUGAGUGGAUCCUGAGUACGGCGGAACACGUGAAAUUCCGUCGGAAUCCGGGAGGACCAUCUCCCAAGGCUAAAUACUCCCUAGUGACCGAUAGUGAACCAGUACCGUGAGGGAAAGGUGAAAAGCACCCCGGAAGGGGAGUGAAAGAGAUCCUGAAACCGUGUGCCUACAAGUAGUCAGAGCCCGUUAACGGGUGAUGGCGUGCCUUUUGUAGAAUGAACCGGCGAGUUACGAUCCCGUGCAAGGUUAAGCAGAAGAUGCGGAGCCGCAGCGAAAGCGAGUCUGAAUAGGGCGAAUUGAGUACGUGGUCGUAGACCCGAAACCAGGUGAUCUACCCAUGUCCAGGGUGAAGUUCAGGUAACACUGAAUGGAGGCCCGAACCCACGCACGUUGAAAAGUGCGGGGAUGAGGUGUGGGUAGGGGUGAAAUGCCAAUCGAACCUGGAGAUAGCUGGUUCUCUCCGAAAUAGCUUUAGGGCUAGCCUCAAGGUAAGAGUCUCGGAGGUAGAGCACUGAUUGGACUAGGGGCCCCUACCGGGUUACCGAAUUCAGUCAAACUCCGAAUGCCGAUGACUUAUCCUUGGGAGUCAGACUGCGAGUGAUAAGAUCCGUAGUCGAAAGGGAAACAGCCCAGACCGCCAGCUAAGGUCCCAAAGUAUACGUUAAGUGGAAAAGGAUGUGGAGUUGCUUAGACAACCAGGAUGUUGGCUUAGAAGCAGCCACCAUUUAAAGAGUGCGUAAUAGCUCACUGGUCGAGUGACUCUGCGCCGAAAAUGUACCGGGGCUAAACGUAUCACCGAAGCUGCGGACUGUUCUUCGAACAGUGGUAGGAGAGCGUUCUAAGGGCUGUGAAGCAAGACCGGAAGGACUUGUGGAGCGCUUAGAAGUGAGAAUGCCGGUAUGAGUAGCGAAAGAGGGGUGAGAAUCCCCUCCACCGAAUGCCUAAGGUUUCCUGAGGAAGGCUCGUCCGCUCAGGGUUAGUCGGGACCUAAGCCGAGGCCGAAAGGCGUAGGCGAUGGAUAACAGGUUGAUAUUCCUGUACCACCUCCUCACCAUUUGAGCAAUGGGGGGACGCAGGAGGAUAGGGUAAGCGCGGUAUUGGAUAUCCGCGUCCAAGCAGUUAGGCUGGGAAAUAGGCAAAUCCGUUUCCCGUGAAGGCUGAGCUGUGAUGGCGAGCGAAUUAUAGUAGCGAAGUUCCUGAUUCCACACUGCCAAGAAAAGCCUCUAGCGAGGUGAGAGGUGCCCGUACCGCAAACCGACACAGGUAGGCGAGGAGAGAAUCCUAAGGUGAUCGAGAGAACUCUCGUUAAGGAACUCGGCAAAAUGACCCCGUAACUUCGGGAGAAGGGGUGCUCUGUUAGGGUGCAAGCCCGAGAGAGCCGCAGUGAAUAGGCCCAGGCGACUGUUUAGCAAAAACACAGGUCUCUGCGAAGCCGUAAGGCGAAGUAUAGGGGCUGACGCCUGCCCGGUGCUGGAAGGUUAAGAGGAGCGCUUAGCGUAAGCGAAGGUGCGAAUUGAAGCCCCAGUAAACGGCGGCCGUAACUAUAACGGUCCUAAGGUAGCGAAAUUCCUUGUCGGGUAAGUUCCGACCCGCACGAAAGGCGCAACGAUCUGGGCACUGUCUCAACGAGAGACUCGGUGAAAUUAUAGUACCUGUGAAGAUGCAGGUUACCCGCGACAGGACGGAAAGACCCCGUGGAGCUUUACUGCAGCCUGAUAUUGAAUGUUGGUACAGCUUGUACAGGAUAGGUAGGAGCCUUGGAAACCGGAGCGCCAGCUUCGGUGGAGGCAUCGGUGGGAUACUACCCUGGCUGUAUUGACCUUCUAACCCGCCGCCCUUAUCGGGCGGGGAGACAGUGUCAGGUGGGCAGUUUGACUGGGGCGGUCGCCUCCUAAAAGGUAACGGAGGCGCCCAAAGGUUCCCUCAGAAUGGUUGGAAAUCAUUCGCAGAGUGUAAAGGCACAAGGGAGCUUGACUGCGAGACCUACAAGUCGAGCAGGGACGAAAGUCGGGCUUAGUGAUCCGGUGGUUCCGCAUGGAAGGGCCAUCGCUCAACGGAUAAAAGCUACCCCGGGGAUAACAGGCUUAUCUCCCCCAAGAGUCCACAUCGACGGGGAGGUUUGGCACCUCGAUGUCGGCUCAUCGCAUCCUGGGGCUGUAGUCGGUCCCAAGGGUUGGGCUGUUCGCCCAUUAAAGCGGUACGCGAGCUGGGUUCAGAACGUCGUGAGACAGUUCGGUCCCUAUCCGUCGCGGGCGCAGGAAAUUUGAGAGGAGCUGUUCUUAGUACGAGAGGACCGGGAUGGACGCACCGCUGGUGUACCAGUUGUUCUGCCAAGGGCAUCGCUGGGUAGCUAUGUGCGGACGGGAUAAGUGCUGAAAGCAUCUAAGCAUGAAGCCCCCCUCAAGAUGAGAUUUCCCAUUCCGCAAGGAAGUAAGAUCCCUGAAAGAUGAUCAGGUUGAUAGGUCUGAGGUGGAAGUGUGGCGACACAUGGAGCUGACAGAUACUAAUCGAUCGAGGACUUAACCAAUUU
rnacentral:rRNA from 1 species